rnacentral:rRNA from 1 species
UACGAAGGGGACGAGCGUUAUUCGGAAUGAUCAGGCGUAAAGAGUUUGUAGGCGGUAUAAUUAGUUUUUAGUUAAAGAUUAAAGAAUAAAACUUUAAAAAGGCUUUUAAUACUAAUAUACUAGAGUAUAGGGGAGGAUAAUAGAACUUUAUACAUAGGGGUAAAAUCCAACGACGUAUAAAAGAAUGCCAAUGGCGAAAGCAAUUAUUCAAUCUAUUUACUGACGCUGAGAGACGAAGGCGUAGGGAGCAAACAGG